rnacentral:sRNA from 2 species
CUGUUCUUUUAUCUGAUAUUUAUUUAUUUUCUUAUUUCAAGGGUACGUCCUAGGACCUUUUCACCUCCAGGCUCCAAAUUGCUGAAUUGUCCUGUACCUGGCAAGCCGCAAAGACCAUUUUUAUCAACCCAAGCCAAGUUACCUUCUUCAUCGACCUGUGUUAACUGAAGCAAAAUUAAAAUGUUUUCUUUUGUUUUUUCGUAUUGCCCAAUGAUAUGGUCUCCUAUUUCUCGUGUUCAGGAGACCCUCCGUCAAUUUUUCAGCUUCCAAAGCCUUCCCCGCCAGACAGUGAGCGAAAUGCUGCGACCGCUAAGGAGUAUCCUCCUGUAAACAAAUCCCC